CAAUAGCGUAUAUUAAUGUUGUUGCAGUUAAAAAGCUCGUAGUUGGAUUUCUGAUGGGAGCCCUGGUCACUCUAACGAGUGUACUGAUGUGGCGUCUCGUCGUUUCAUGGGGAUGCUUGCUGGUAUUAAGUUAUCGGCUUGUGGAUCCAUGUCGUUUACUGUGAAAAAAUUAGAGUGUUCAAAGCAGGCCAUCGCUGUGAAUACAUUAGCAUGGAAUAAUAAGAUAGGACUGUGGUGCUAUUUUGUUGGUUUGCGUACUACGGUAAUGAUUAAUAGGGAUAGUUGGGGGUAUUCAUAUUCAAUUGUCAGAGGUGAAAUUCUUGGAUUUAUGGAAGAUGAACUACUGCGAAAGCAUUUACCAAGGAUGUUUUCAUUAA
rnacentral:rRNA from 1 species